UGUCCUGAUGAUCCUGCGAGUAGGAAGUGCCGUCAGAGCGACAACUGACGAUGUUCACGCCUGUCUGACA